rnacentral:lncRNA from 1 species
AAUCCCAGCACUUGGGAGGCUGAGACAGAAUUGCUGAGAGUUCAAGACCAUCCUGCACUACAGAGUGAGUUCAAGACCAGUCUGAGCAACAUAGCAAGACCUUGUUUCAAAAACAAAACAAAGCAAAAGUUUAAAGCUUAAGGACUAGAGGAUACAAAAUAGGUCCACAGGAGACAGAUGAUAGCAGUUCCAGGCUGCUUUUUGUAUAAAAGCCUGCAAGUGAGAAGAAGCAUCAUAAAUCUAAAGAGCCUGGAUCAUUUCAGGAAAGUUGUAGGGAGAUAUGUAUGCUUGAAGAGGCCGAAGAGGGAAUUGCAAUCAAAUCAUGAAGAGCCCUGUCUGCUCUUUGUGUAAGUCCUUCAAUGUAUAAUUAAUGAAAUCAGAUAAAACUUUUCAUUUUUAUAGGGAACUGGAAAAAAACUCAUUUUCAACAUACUAACUACAAAGAACUUAAUUAUUAUCUUUUACAAAUGUCAUCUAAAUAAUACAUUCAAGUAGGAAAUACAAUGAUAAACAAACUAUUACAUUUUUAUCAACAGAAGAGGUAGAAAGACUGGAAAGAGACCUGGAAAAGAAGAUGAUAGAAACUGAAGAGCUUAAGAACAAACAGAAAAGGUUCCUAGAGGAAAUUAAAAAUCAAGAUAAAUUAAACAAAUCAUUAAAAGAGGAGGCCAUGUUACAGAAACAGAGCUGUGAGGAACUAGAAAGUGACCUAAACACAAAAAAUGAAUUGGAUGCUGAAAUUGAUAUCACCCCUGAUGAGAGCCCUUACAUUGGCAAAUCCAGAUACAAGAGAAAUAUGUUUGCCACAGAAAGUUACAUUACCAGUAAUGCCCAGGCAGUACAGAUCAAGAAGAUGGAGCCAGACGAAGGGGAGCAGCUUAGAAAUGAGCAUGUGAACUUGAGAGACAUUGCAACACUGGAUGUACAACUGGAAGACAGAGAAAAAAUAAGUGCAGGUUAAACAAAGUUAUUUUAAAUUCUUUAAAAAUACAAAAAGAUUAAAUAUGUAAGCCAAUUUUGUCUCAUAAUUCUUUUAAUUAAACAUGCUGAUGCUAUUGUUGCUUACUUGAAAAAUCUAAACAAGUAGUGACUUACUGAACAGAUUAUUUUUUAAAGAUUCCUGUUGUGCUUGAGAAUGGGGUUUUUGACAGUAAUUGAUGGGAACAUGUCCAGGA